GCGGGUGUAGUUCAAUGGUAGAACUUUAGCUUCCCAAGCUGAUAGCGUGGGUUCGAUUCCCAUCACCCGCUC
rnacentral:tRNA from 1 species